GGAGACUUGGGGGGCCAAAAUGAAAUUUUUCCUUUUUAAUCAUGCAUGCAAACUACGAAGGCUGCUAACCAUUUGAGGCUUUCAUUGCCUCUGUAAUGUUUUCAUUGUUUGUGCAGCCUCACACCGCGCGAUUUUUACACCAAAAAAAUUUUUAUGGUUUCGAAUUAAAACAUGCAACCUCAUCAUUAAUCAUUUAGACACCAGAUUUAGCUAGCAAAAUAGAUGACUAAACCAGUUUUUUUGUGGGCUGCUACGGGGAAGAAUGGAAAGCGGCAAAACCUGAGGAUGAAAUAUAGCUUUUCCACAUCCAAACAAGAACUUCGGAUUUCCAUUUUAACAGGAUCCAAUGAUAAAACACUUCAUGGGCUAGAUUAAGGCAAUGAAAAUGGUCCAAAAUUUAUAAAGCAGCAGGAAACACUAGAGAUUACAUGCAUCAAGAAGACAACAUAGACAUCAGUAGCUCCAAAAUGCAAAACAAAUGCAGCAGAGGCACGAAGACACUUGCAGCAACCUACCCACAGCACUCAAUAAUGACAACCGAACAUCAAAGAAAGCACACACUUCAAGCAACCAAUAACUCCAGUAUGAACCAAGUAUGCUCUCCACUUUUCACCAUAAACUUUAGAUGUUAACACAUAAAAAUCCGAAGGAAAAUCAUGCAACUUUAGCAAAUUUCUGAAGCUUAUCUGAUGCUUUGACGUUUAGCAAACUCACGUGACAGCAACAAAUUUUAACAGCAAAGCAACAAGGAUUCACCUCCAAGUUUAUCAUCAAGACGAUUGAAACACACAAAAGAAAAGACAUCUGAACUGAGGGGAAAAGCUUGCCCAGACAUGUUCAUCUCAUAGUUACAAAUUUCUGAGCUUUCCAUCAAACCCACGG
rnacentral:lncRNA from 1 species